UGGGGAAUAUUGCACAAUGGGCGCAAGCCUGAUGCAGCCAUGCCGCGUGUAUGAAGAAGGCCUUCGGGUUGUAAAGUACUUUCAGCGGGGAGGAAGGUGUUGUGGUUAAUAACCACAGCAAUUGACGUUACCCGCAGAAGAAGCACCGGCUAACUCCGUGCCAGCAGCCGCGGUAAUACGGAGGGUGCAAGCGUUAAUCGGAAUUACUGGGCGUAAAGCGCACGCAGGCGGUCCGUCAAGUCGGAUGUGAAAUCCCCGGGCUCAACCUGGGAACUGCAUCCGAAACUGGCAGGCUUGAGUCUUGUAGAGGGGGGUAGAAUUCCAGGUGUAGCGGUGAAAUGCGUAGAGAUCUGGAGGAAUACCGGUGGCGAAGGCGGCCCCCUGGACAAAGACUGACGCUCAGGUGCGAAAGCGUGGGGAGCAAACA
rnacentral:rRNA from 1 species